GUGCGCAGUGAGGGUUGGGUGUCAGCUGUGCACAGCUCUCUCUCUCUCUGUCAUCCAUAGACACACACAUAGGGGGAAGAGGAGGAGACCGACCACCCAUCCCCCAGCAAGAGCAGGAGCGGCCCACGGGUGAGAGGGGAAAAGAAACACUACCGGGCUAACCCCGCCUCAACCGGACCUAUCACACACGGCUAGACCAGAGGGAAGGGACACCCGGGCAUAGCGGCCAUCUCCUCUUGCCAGCACCGUCUAAGCCGGUACACGUCACCCAGUGUACAUUGUAUAUAACGGGAGAGCAUCGUCCAGUCCAUGUGAUCAGUGAGUGGCACCUCCCUGGGGAUAGGCUGUGAGGAGCGGAUAGCGGAGUGCGGAGAGGAUGUUAAACGCGAGCUUGGACCGGGUGGAUCUAUGUGAGAGUCUGUUGACGUGGAUACAGACAUUUCACGUAGAUGCACCAUGCAAAACAGUAGAAGACCUUACAAGCGGUGUAGCAAUGGCCAUGGUCCUCCAAAAAAUUGACCCAGCAUACUUUGAUGAAAACUGGUUAAACAGGAUUAAAACAGACGUGGGAGACAACUGGAGACUGAAGAUCAGUAAUUUAAAGAAGAUUCUAAAGGGUAUUUUGGACUACAAUCAUGAGAUUUUGGGACAUCAGAUCAAUGAUUUCGCACUUCCAGAUGUCACUUUGGUUGGAGAACACUCGGAUGCCUCGGAACUUGGAAGAGUGUUGCAACUAAUUUUAGGCUGUGCAGUAAAAUGCGAGCAAAAGCAAGAGUAUAUCCAGACCAUCAUGAUGAUGGAGGAAUCUGUGCAACAUAUGGUGAUGACUGCAAUCCAAGAGCUAAUGAGCAAAGAAACUCCAGUGUCAAUAGGAACAGAUGCUUAUGCUGAACUUGACCGACAGUUAAAGAAGAUUACUGAAGAGCUCAAUGAUGCCUUGGCAGCGAAAGAAGAAAUUGCCCAGCGGUGCCAUGAACUAGACAUGCAGGUGUACUAUAUCCAGGAGGAGCGAGCUAAACUGAGAUAUGAAUGUAAUGAUCUAGAAGAAAGGGUUGCAGGCCUCCAGGAAGAGAAAAGCAGCUUGCUUGCUGAGAACCAGGUUCUUAUGGAACGCUUGAACCAGUCUGACUCAUUAGAAGAUCCCAACAGCCCAGCUGGAAGGCGACAUUUACAGCUUCAAACACAACUUGAGCAGCUGCAAGAGGAAACAUUUAGGCUUGAAGCAUCCAAAGAUGAUUACAGGAUACGCUGUGAAGAGUUGGAGAAGGAGAUUGCAGAACUAAGACAACAAAAUGAAGACUUGACCACACUUGCAGAUGAGGCACAGUCAUUGAAAGAUGAAAUGGAUGUGCUUCGGCAUUCUUCUGAUAAAGUUACCAAGUUGGAGAGUCAGGUUGAGUCCUACAAGAAAAAGCUGGAAGAUCUGGGAGAUUUAAGAAGGCAAGUAAAGCUGUUGGAGGAAAAAAACACCAUGUAUAUGCAGAACACAGUCGGCCUAGAAGAGGAGCUCAGGAAAGCCAAUGCUGCUCGGAGUCAGCUGGAAACCUAUAAGAGACAGGUUGUUGAGUUACAGACCAGACUAUCAGAGGAAUCUAAAAAAGCAGACAAGCUGGAAUUCGAAUACAAGAGGCUGAAAGAAAAAAUUGACAGUUUGCAAAAAGAAAAGGACAGACUACGCUCAGAAAGAGAUUCUCUGAAGGAAACUAUUGAAGAGUUGCGAUGUGUGCAAGCUCAGGAAGGUCAGCUUACCACGGCAGGCUUGAUGGCUCUAGGUAACCAGGAACCAGCGGACAGUCUAGCUGCAGAAAUUGUGACACCAGAAAUAAAGGAGAAGCUAAUCCGCCUACAACAUGAAAAUAAGAUGUUAAAAAUUAAUCAAGAAGGAUCAGACAAUGAAAACAUUGCUUUGUUACAAAGCUUGCUUGAUGAUGCAAACAUGCGGAAAAAUGAGCUGGAGACUGAAAACAGGCUGGUAAAUCAGAGGCUUUUGGAAGUACAGUCACAGGUAGAAGAGCUUCAAAAAUCGUUACAAGAACAAGGGGCAAAAGCAGAAGAUGCAAUAUCACUACUUCUGAAGAAGAAGCUUGAAGAACAUCUGGAGAAGCUUCAUGAAGCCAACAAUGAACUGCAGAAAAAACGUGCAAUCAUUGAAGAUUUGGAGCCACGUUACAACAACAGCUCAAUGAAAAUCGAAGAGCUACAGGAAGCGUUACGGAAGAAAGAAGAAGACAUGAAACAAAUGGAGGAGCGUUACAAAAAAUAUCUAGAGAAAGCAAAAAGUGUUAUUCGCACAUUGGAUCCAAAGCAAAAUCAGGGCUCAGGGCCAGAGAUACAAUCUUUAAAAAAUCAGCUGCAAGAAAAAGACAAAAUGUUUCAUUCUUUAGAGAAAGAGUUUGAGAAAACCAAGACACAGAGAGAUCAGGAAGAGAAACUGAUUGUCAGUGCAUGGUAUAACAUGGGAAUGGCUUUACAUAAAAAAGCUGCAGAGGACAGACUGGCAAGCACAGGAUCAGGACAGUCAUUUCUUGCAAGGCAGCGGCAAGCUACAAGCUCAAGAAGGUCUUACCCAGGACACGUCCAGUCAGCCACAGCGAGUGAUGUGAUUGCAUGAUCGCGGCAUGGUUUUGCAGUCAAAUACUGCUCGUUGCAUGAAAAUUAUGUUUGGACGUCCUAACCUGCAGACUAACAACUUCUUUAGGGGUUGUGGUUUACCACUGCUUGUUUUCUUACAUUUAAUGCUUCUACGUUAAGCCAUCCAUACUGUUUUCACAUCCUGAUUUUGCAGACACCUUCUGAAUACAAGCCUUCAGUAAUUCAGGCCAUGGCUGCCUACAUGCUUGGAAAAGCAGAGUGUAUAUAUGACCACAUAACAAAAUGACAACCCAAAACAAGCUGGAGGGAUAUAGAUGAUCAAUUCUUGUUUUUUUAAUUUUUUGUUGUAUAGCACCCUCUGAUAUUUUUAAUUUUUAUUUUGUGCAUAUGCCUGUUACAACAUUUUGUUUACAUAGUAGCAUUUCUUAAAAAAAAUAAUAAAAAAAAAAUAUAUAUAUAUUUUAAGUUAUGAUACUGCCUAUUGUAUGUUAUUAUAACAAGUUAUUGAUUGACUUUUUUUUCCCCCAAUAUUCUAUGUAAUUAAUUUGCAUAUACUGGCUGCCUUGGCAUUUAUUUAAAUAAAUUGUGCUCAUACUUUAAUAUAUUUCUACGUAACACCGAUUUAUAUUUAUAUCCACGCAUUUGUAUCUAAACAGGGAGCCGAAGGCUCUAAUUUUGUUCCCAUUUUUAUUGUAUAGUAUAAUUAAACUUUUUAUGACAGUAUUAUGUAUA